UUCUAGGUCACUGUAUUUACUUUGCCUUCUCCAACACUGUUGCAUCAGAGAAUGAAAGGAAGGUUGAAUUCAAGGUAUAGAGGUGUCAAGAGAGAAGCAGAUCACGAAUGAACCAUCCCUACUGAGGCAUUUGUUCAUUGAAAAUAGAUUAGUUGAAUGCAAUCCCAUGCUUGGCAUGUGUGACAGUAAUGGGCAAGACAAUAUGUCUCCUGCUUUCAUGGAAUAUAUGUUCUCCUUCCCAGUAUUGCAUCUUCCACAGCAUGUGACCAAUACUACAUGGAAGCUGUCAAGACUUGGGGCUUGCACCCUCUGAAGCAAUGGCUUGAGCUGUAUGUUGGCCCCUUUCAGCCAUGGCUGGGACACAAGGCACCAACUCCCGAGACUGCACAAGGCAGCAAGGUCCUGAGCCCUGGCCAGAAAACAACGUUUUCCCCCUAGGCCUUCAGGCCUGUGAUGAGAGGGGCUGCCAUAAAGACCUCUGACAUGCCCUGGAAACACAGUUCCCAUUGUUUUGGUAAUUAACAUUUGGUUCCUGAUUACUUAUGCAAAUUUCUGAAGCUGGCUUGAAUUUCUCCUCAGAAAAUGUUUUUUUCUUUUCUAUUGUAUUGUCAGGCUGCAAAUUUUCCAAACUUUUGUGCUCUGCUUGCCUUUUAAACAUAAGUUCCAAUUCCAAACCAUCUCUUUUGGAAUGCAUAAAACUGAAUGCUUUUAAGAGCACCCAAGUCACCUUUUGAACAUUUUGCUGCUUAUAAAUUUCUUCUGCCAGAUACCCUAAAUUAUCUGUCUCAAGUUUAAAUUUCCAGAGAUCUCUAAGGCAGGGUCAAAAUGCUGCCAGUCUCUUUGCUAAAGCAUAGCAAUAAUCACCUGUAUUCCAGUUAUCAAGAAGUUCCUAAUCUUUGUCUGAGACCACCUCAGCCUGGACUUCAUCAUCCAUUUCACUACCAGCAUUUUGGUCAAAGGAAUUCAACAAGUUGCUAGGAAGUUACAAACUUUCUCACUGUUCCAACCUCUGCCUGUUACCCAGUUUCAAAGUUGCUUCAACAUUUUUGGGUAUCUUUAUAGCAGCACCCGACUCUCUGUGGUACUAAUUUACUGUAUUAGUCUGUUUACAUACUGCUAUAAAGAACUGCCUAAGACUAGGUAAUUUAUAAAGGAAAGAGGUUUAAUUGACUCACAGUUCAGCAUGGCUGGGGAGGCCUCAGGAAACUUACAAUCAUGGUGGAAGGUGAAAGGGAAGCAAGGCACCUUCCUCACAAGGUGACAGGAAAAAGAAGUGCCAAGUGAAGGGAAAAGAGUCUCAUAAAACCAUCAGAUAUUGUGAGAACUCACUCAGUAUCAUGAGAACAGCAUGGGGGAAACUUUCUCCAUGAUUCAGUUACCUUCCCUUGGUCUCUCCCUUGACACGUGGACAUUAUGGGGAUUAUGGGGCUUACAAUUCAAGAUGAGAUUUGGGUGGGGACACAAAGCCUAACCAUAUCAGUGAUGGUAUCAAAAGGUGAAGUCUUUGGUAAAUGAUUAGGUCAUGAGAUUACAGCCCUCAUAAAUAGAAUUAGUGCUCUUAAAAGAGACACCAGAGAGCUGACUAGUCUCUUCCACCAUGUGAGGACACAGUGAGGAGGCACCAUCUAUGAGCCAGGAAGAAAGUCCUCACCAGACACCAACUAUUCUUCUGUCUUUACCUUGGACUUCCCAGAACUGUAAAAAAUAAAUUUCUGUGGUCUAUAAGCCACCCAGUCGAUGGUAUUUUGUUAUUAACAACCUGAAUGGAUGGAUUAAGACACCAGUUUAAAUCAUUUUUUUCCACCAAAAACUAAAAUAGUUAAAAUAAAUGAAGAAAUUAAAUAAGAGCUAUGCUUGUUUGGAAGGAGAUAGAAUCCAUACAUUUAUUCUUUCUCUCAAUUGCACCAUUAUUCACUGAACAGUUGCCAUAAGCCAGGCUGUGUGCUGGGCCCUGGCAGUACAGAGAUGAACAAAGCACCAUUCUUGCCCUUAGAAGCUCACAGACUAGCUAGAGGGACAGACAGAUGAGCAGGGAACCAUAGAGUGAUAUGGUAUGUGAGAUAGGAGAGGCACAUGGAUCAGGGGGCAUGGUGGCUCAGCCAUUCCUGGGAGGGAUCAGUGAAUUGAGACUUACACAUGAGCAGGAUGUAGGAAAGCCGAGAAAAAUAAAGUGUCAUCUAUGAUGAUACAGAGAAAGGAGAGGUCAGGGUGUGGUACCUAAUAAUGAUGAUGAGGAUAAUAAGUGUAAUAUUUAGUUAAUAUUUAUUGAGUGCUUAUCAUACACUCUGCCCUGGUCCAAGUUCUUUGUAUAUAUAAUGUCAUUUGAUCCUCAUGGUGAUUCCAUGAGGUAGAUACCUAUUUUACUGGUAAGAAGGGGUUAGGGAAGUUGACAGAAACCACAUAGCAGGCCAGGGCUGCUGGGAUAUAUGACAAAAACAUAUAGAGUGUUGAUAGAUGAAACUCUUGAGAAUUUGUGUUGGGUUUGGAUUGUGAGAGAUUUUAAAUACAACACAAGGGGCUCAAUUAGAGGACAGAAAGUACAUUGUUGUUUACUGAGUGCCUACUAUAUCCCAGUUAUAUAUCUGAUCUGAUCAAAUUUUUACAACUCCCCUAUUGGAUAAGCAUUAUUAGCCACAUUCUUACUAAAACAACUCAGACAUAUUUUUAUUUUCCUAAAUCACUCUACUAGUAAGUGGCAAAAAGUAAAAAAAGCUGGCUCCUGAACACAUUUUUUAACUGCUAUAUUAUUGCCCAUUUCCUCUUUCUGAUAAAUAUUUUUAAUCCUUUUCCCCCCCUUCUGAUCAACUGAUAAAAAGCUAUCAUUUCUCUCUGCAGAAACAUACAUGGAACUAUAUACCAACAAACUUUUGCUUGUAAUUUAUUUUAUUGCAUGGGAAUUUCAUUUUUUUCAUAUGGACAGACCAUACAAACAAGUCUUACAAAAAAUUAUUUGUCUCAUUUCCUGCCUUCCUCCACAAAAUAUUACUGCUUUCUUCCUUAAAAAAGCAAUAAAUCCAAAUUUUGCAAAUGAAUGAAAAAUGUAAAUUGAAAUUCUGCUGAAAAGUAACAUUUCAGUGAGGAGCCUGCUGUUGUUUGACUUAAAAAAGAAAUAGAAAUGUUGGAGCUGUCUUUGCAUGACAGCAUCAUUUCAGCAAUCUAAUCAUUUCAACAUUGUUUUUUUGGCAACAAGUCCCCAAACUGUGACUCAGAAAGGUAAGUAACAAACCCCAUUAUUGUUUCCAGAACUCACUUUGCCACACAAGGUCAGAUGUGUGUCAAGGAGGCCCAGAAUCCUCUAAGAUUCUUUGAGUUUAAUUUAUUUUGUAUAAUCCCCUUUGUCCUAGAGUUAAUGAGGUUGGCUCUGCAUUCUUGAUGCCAUCUGUGUCAGCAAGGUAAGGAUUAUGAAUCCAGUUCAAUCGUAAGGCUGUCUACACACUAGUAAACCUCAGAAGAAUUCUGCUAUAUUUCCUGGUGUCUACAGAUUUCUGCUUAUGGAGAAACAGACAAGGUUUUGUCACUGUGUACAACAGUCUACAAAAACAUUUUUUCUUGACUGGGAAACAGGAUAAUUUUCCACCUCCUAGUUCUUUCAGAAGAGUGAAAAUUGCUGAAAUGCUAGGAACUUUUUGGCAGUGUCCAUAACGGUGAAUGCCGGGCUUGAAUUCAAACCACUACUUUAUCCAACUUGCCAAAAAUGUCCACCAAGAAUUUCUCCCUGUCAGAUUAUUCUGAGAAAGAGCAUUUUAAUCUGCAAAGUAAUAAUAACAAUAAUGAUAAUAGUGACUAUAUGCCAGAAGUUCCAUUGAGUGCUUUAAGACUUAGUGUCUAGAAUCUGGUGAGCCUCCCAAGAUAAGGGCUUCUGAGUUCUACUCCUGUUUCUUGAUUAAGUAUUAAAAAGGUGGUUCAAGGAGAGGAUAACAGGAAGUUCUCUGAGGUUGAUCAGCUGGAUCUGACACUUGAGCACACCGAUAUAGAAAGCAACCAAGGGGCAAUGUCAUCUGAUGCUUUUUUCUUCACUGUAUCACUUCUCUUACAAUUUAGUGCUUAAGCAACAGCCAUUAAUUUGGCUCAUGAUUUUGUGGAUUGGCGGUUUGGGCUGGGCACAGCUGAUGGUUCUUCUGGUCUGAGCUGCGCUCAGUUGAUCUCAACUGGGCUUGUGCAUGCAUCUGCAUUCCUGCUGGUGGAUUGGCAAGGGCCUGCUGGUUUGUAGUAGCUAGCCUGGUCUUGAUUGUUGGCAUGUCUGAGCUCACUCUCCAUGUUGGUUUCUUAUCCUCCAGGUGGUUAGCCUGGGCUUGUUCACAUGGUGGCUGGCUUCCAUGAAUAGCCGGAGAGCAAGCCUGUGAGAACAAGAACAAGUACUUUUCAAGUAUUUGUUUUUGUUCCUUUGCCCCUGUCCUACUGGUCAAAGCAAGGUACUAGUCAGCCCACAUUCAAGGCAUGGACCCAAACUCCAACUAUUGGUGAGAAACACUACCUUGUGAAGCUGUGGAUAUGGGAAGGAGAUUAAUCUGUGGCCAUUUUUCUAAUCUACCAUAUUUGCAAAACACAAAAGCCUUUUAAGAGUUAAGGGGCCAAUAUAUUAUACCUUUCUCCCACUUUUGAGUUUAGAGCCAAUUGAGAGAAGUACACUGGGGUCAAAUGGGGCAGAUCAAAUACCAGCUUAAUUAUUGGUGAAGUUAGAAUGGGAACCCAUUUUGCAUUUGUAGUCUGAACAGACUUUCUAUAAUCCUCUCCUAGAAUGAAAGUAAUCAUCUGGAAUUGAAGCUGUCCCCCUGCAGGAGCUUAAAAAUGUGUGUGUGUUUUGAGUAGGUGGAUGCCAGAGAGAAAAAAAAAAAAACACAAGGAAGAGGGCUAGGUAGAGACUCUUUUCCUCUGCUCUGUAGGGAAAAAUUGUAUCACUGAAUGCUAGAUACUUCCUUUCCCAUCAUGGGAAUAAAGAAAAAAGUGGAAAGAGAGGGAAAAUGUUACUAUUUAUAAGCCUAGGUGGGAAUGCUAUGAGAGGGAGAAAAAUGGUCCCCCUUAUCCCAGAUGUGUUUCCAAGCAAUGAAGAUACUUACGUUUGUGUGUGCCCUGAGUGUCGUUUUUUCCCUCUAAGUAAAUUGCUUGGCAAUGAAACCAUUUAUCAUUGUGAACAUGUGGAUGGUAAGAGAAGAUUCCCAAUGGGACUUGCAAAAUAGGACUUCUUCAUUGAUAGUGUAAGUGAAAAUAAAUUAAAAACCCAGGAAUUAGCUUCAUUGAAAUACAUCAGUAGUUACAUACUGCUGCAAGAUGAAGAGAAAUGGCUGUCAAUUCCAUGACCUAUUUCAAAAUACUGGAGAAAAUUUGAUGUCUUGGGAGUGAAUGCCGUGUAACAGAAGUGAUGCUUCUAUUUUUUUUUUCUAGUGUUCCAAGACCCGAAGUAGCUUGACCAUGCCCUAAAAUGAAGCUGUUUAUGUGCUUUUUAUUUUUCCUUAGCAAUUCCAUGAGCACUUGUUGGGGGCUGAAUUUUCAUGGUCACAACAGUCCUCAAAACUAAGGUUUGGGCGGGGCUCAGUGGCUCACAUCUGUAAUCCCAGCACUUUGGGAGGCCGAAGCAGGCAGAUCACCUGAGAUCAAGAGCUUGAGAGCAGCCUGGCCAACAUGGUGAAACCCUGUCUCUACUAAAAAUACAAAAAUUGGCUGGGCGUGGUGGUGGGUGCCUGUAAUUCCAGCUACUUGGGAGGCUGAGGCGAGAGAAUCACUUGAGCCCGGGAGGUGGAGGUUGCAGUGAGCCGAGAUCACGCCUUUGCACUCCAGCCUGGGCAACAGAGCGGGACUCCGCCUCAACAAACAAACAAACAACCAAAAACACAAAAACCCCAACUCAGGUUUGUAAAGAUGUUAAUUUGCUUUAUUUCUGUAUAAAACAGUGUCUUAGCUCUCAUGCCUCCAAUUCCAUAAGGGCAAAAAACUUAAUCUUGCAAAACCAAGUAUGCUCAGCCAAGUCUAGUUUAAUACUCAGUCUCUUUGGGACAAAUACACAAUUAACUCAAGAUGCUUAGCUUCUCCUUUUUCCUUUGUUUCUCCUCAAGGGACAGGAAUCAGAUGGGCAUAGGGCAUCUGGUCCAUGAUCAUCCUUUGUUCGUGCUGAUCUCUGAUGAAAUAUCUGAAGAAGAAGGAGAACACCAUGUGAAGCUGGAGGCAGAGAUUGGAGUGACACGCCUACAAACUGAGGGGCACCAAAGACCACCAGCAACCACCAGAAGCUGGAAGAGGCAUGGCACAGAUGACCACAAGAGCCUCCAGAAGGAACCAACCAUGCUGACGCCUUGAUUUUGGACUUCCAGCCUCUCAAAUUGUGAGCAAAUAAAUUUUUGUUGUUUUAAGCUACCCAGUUGUGGUACACUGUUAUGGUAGCCUGAUAUAGUUUGGCUGUGUCCCCAUGCAAAUCUCAUCUUGAAUUGUAGCUCCCAUAAUUCCCACAUGUUAUGAGAGGGAUCCGGUGGGAGGUAAUUGAAGCAUGGAGAAAGGUCUUUCCCAUGCUGUUCUCAUGAUAGCGAACACAUCUCAUGAGAUCUGAUGGUUUUAUAAAUGGGAGUUUCCCUGUACAUGCUCCCUUUGCCUGCCACCAUGUGAGACGUGACUUUGUUCCUCCUUCACCUUCUGCCAUGAUUGUGAGCCCUCCUCAGCCAUGUAGAACUGUGAUUCCAUUAAACCUCUUUCCUUUAUAAAUU
rnacentral:lncRNA from 10 species